GUCAGUGCCUGGGUCUAUUAACCCAGAAAUUGCACCUUUUUUUCAAAUUUAAAAGAAAAUAUGCCGCCAGACGGAGACUUUGAAGCUGCACUUUAGCACACAGGAACCUUUUAGAGCUGAGCCCUAGAGACAGGGAAGCACCCUGCCCCCAAGUGAUUUUAGGGUAGGCAGAGGUGGCUUCUGUCCUGUGCUUCACCGAUGCUUAGCAUGGACAGUCUAGAAAAGAGCUGCACCAGCAACAGCCAAGACUGCUGCAGGCUGCACAAUGGAUAUUUCUAUGCAGGAUUAAAAAACAGAUAGAAAUGUGAACAUACAGGUGCCAGGAGGAGGAGAAAAGCCCACAAAGUGCUGUUUAGUCUCUACUAUAGGUUAUGUGUACAUGUAUAUAUGCUACUACGGCUGCAUCCUCACCAGCGAUGCUACAAAACAAUUUUGCAAGGACUCCUUAUCAACCCGUCCCUUCCUGGCCGAGGCAGCAAAGCCCGUCCGUUCUAGCCGCUCCAGCCCACAGCGAGGGGCGUUUGGGAGCCGGUCCCCAGGGCCCUGCAUCCCAGACCGGGAGAACAGAAGCAGAAGAGGCCCGAGGUCCACCGCACACGAAUCCAACGCACCGCUCUUUCAGCCCCUCCGAGCCCCUUCCACUAGUGACGUGGCCCUGAUGGACAUUUCAUCCCUUUCUCCCACCGUUUCAUUAACCACUUCCUGGCAGAUAUUUCUGCCUGAUAAGCCUGCACCUUGUCCCUGUCGCUCCUCAAAGCCCUCCGGCAGCCUUGCCUACAAAUGGUAGUGCCUUCAAUUAAAGCAACACGCAAGCCUCUGGACCCGCAGACGUGCACGCGCCUGAAUGAGCGGCCCUCCAAGCCUCACGACCUCGUUCUCCCUGCCUGGGUAGUGCCACGUCCCCACCUGGCCACUGAUUGCAGCUCCCCGGGGCAAAGCUGACUCCACACAGGCAAGUGAAGAUCAUCUGUUUAUUCGUUGCACUGAACGCCUAAGGGCCCAUCCCGGGUGAGAACGCUGCGAUUCCAUGUACAUAGUCAAACAACAGCCCAUGCCGCUGGGGGUUCGAGCCACAUCCGCUCAGCCCCGCUUCUGCCCUAUACUCAAAGCAAGAACUUCCCCUUGCACACAGGCCCGGCUCCACAGCGAGGGACUCAUCCCAUUUUUUGUUGAGUCCUGUUACAACGGGAUCUGAACUCCCAGACCCAAAAUACCCACCACAGGGUUCAUUGGAAAAGCUGGUUGAUGCAUUGCAGACAAGUCCACGUGCCCUCCCUCCGGAAAAUGAAGGUCAGUACCGCGGCUCAGCCAGUGCUUGCCACAACGCCAUAAACACCCACCUGCCAGGCAGCCUCCCCUGAGAUGGGUCCCAGAGACGAGUCCGGGCUGGGCUCUUGGGAUGCCUUGGGCAUAGAUGUAUAUUCUUAUAUUUGUGGACAUAUAUUCUUACACAUAGAUGUACAACCCUUCACUAGGGCUGCACUGCAGAGUCCCAUGCUGCCUUCCCUGCAAGGCUUCCUGUUCCCUUCCAGUGUCUUCUCCUGCUUUUCCCCAUCAUCCCGCCUCAGCCUCAGCAACCCACGUUAAACGCCAGACACCGUCCUCUCAAAAUCACAGAACCACAGAAUCGGAGACGCGGGGCUGGAAGGGAGCUCCACAGGUCACAUCGAGUCCAACCCCUGCCUGAGGCAGGAUCAGCCCUGUGCAAACCAGCCCAGACAAACCCAUUGUCUAAGCUCAGACACAAAAAAAGCAGAAAAACCCACCUAACUGUGGGGAAAGGAGUCAGUAAGGUGACUUUUGCAGCCCCCGUCCCACCCCCACACCGCCUCCCGCGUCAGCCACGAGGUCUGGGUAGACCGCAGGCCCCCCAGAGCAGAGGCCCUCCCUGCGACGUGCGGUUCAGCGCCCGACACCACGGAGCCUUCGUUCCGGGGGGCCUCUCCGGGUACCCCUGCCACAAGUCUCCCCGGGACAGCCGCCGAGCCCUCGAGGAUAACGUGGCUGCCAGGGCACGGCGAGGUGGCAUCAGGAUUUCAUUUCAGAGAGCUGGAUCCCUCCGGCAAAGCCCUCGGUGCAGCACAGCACAGCACAGCACAGCACAGCACAGCACAGCACAAAAGAUCCUCUCUGAUUAGACGAGAGCUACCGAGUGCCAGCUGCAGGGCUCGCACAGAGAUCUUAGGAACAAACAAGAAACCUUGGCUUCCAGGCAGGAAAUCCCCGUUACUACACCUUUCUGAUUUACACUGAUCCCUGAUACGCACCACAUGUGUCCCCUCCUGCCUUGGCCCGCAUUCGCAAUGGUUCUGUUCCACAUUUAAGUGAUGAAAAGUUAAGACCUGUGGUUACAACUUCUAUGAGAAACUUCAUUUUGAAGGGCUGCUACAUUUCAACUUUAUUGCCAUGAGGAAAACUGAAGGAACAAAAGCCUUCAGUCAUUCCCUGACCUGAAAAACCCUUGUGAAGACAUUUAAUAAGUGUAAGUUCUCCGCGCCGGUUGUUGAAAUGCUGACCUGCGGGUUAAAGCACCAGCAUUUGUUUCUACAAAUGUUUUGCAUGAACACUGUCCGCGGCUCUACGCGCUACGGUAGUUCUUCCUCUAGAUGCCAGACCACAGUUGGCUUUUGCUAUUAAACUGUCUGCCCAGAUACAGCUUCAAGACAAAAUCUUCCCUGGAGAUGGUAGGGUGGGUGGCCUGGACACAGGUAGCAACCCCCCGACCGCCAAACCAGCAAACAAGAUACAGAGAGACGGAGAAAAAUGGUGUCAAAAGUCCCACCUGCCGGGGAGCAGCAGGAUACAAAGGUGCCGGUGAGCAAGAUCCAAUCUAAGUUUGGAGAAAAGCAAGAAAAAGAUCAGAAAACUGGCCAAGGUGCCUGCCUUUUCUAUUUAGUGCUUCCCUCUUUGAGGAGAUCUCUGCAAACUUCCUUUUCUACAGACCUGCCCACUGGGAUCUGUCUGGUAUUAAUUGGCUCCUUAAAUAAUUACUUAUGGAAAAUCUUCAGCUAAUGCCUCUUUUAAGUUGCAGAGCUACAAAAAAGUAUUUAAAAAAAUAAACAAGCACGAAACAAAAAUAUUGCUACUUUUCUAUUUGUACCUAUCGCUGCUGCUGCUUUAUUUAGAUGGAGGGCAGAAAUCGGGCCUGAAGUUUCUUUGUGUUGAUCAUUGCUGGCAGAAAGUGUCCAGGGGAAAAGUGGCACUUGGACAAAUUCUGUGGAGAAAAAUCCUCAAAAGAGAGAGACAGCACUAAUAGAGGAGGCAACGCCGACAGCUGUGAAACCCUCCCAGAUGCUGAAAUGCUUUCUAAAAAAAUCGUCUUUGGUGAGAAAAGUAAACGCAACAAACAGCUCUGCACGAUGAACGCCUCGGGAAGCAGCUCCUGUUAUGGACAGGCGGAGCAAGCUGCGAGCACGGCCCGAAAGUGCAGGUAAAAAUCCCACUGAUUUCAACAGCUCCUCCUGAUGCAUCCUGGGGUAAGGAGAGAGAGAGAGGUCCGCAGGCUGCACGCCUUCGCCCAGAACGUGCCAAAUGCCGAGUACUAAAAAAAGAUGCAGGACGAGCUCUCUCUGGGCACAGGCGCUGCUAGGAGAGGAGCAGCCCUUUGCUGCUGUUCUGCUUUUCCUGGCCAGAGCCGAACCCGCGGCUGCAACAAUUUGCACCAGCUGAAAUCCUGGGCCCCCUCCUCAGUCCUGGUAAAAGUGUUGUUUCUUUCUUAUAUUAUGAUAAUUACUUUUGAAAACCUGGCUCAUUUUUACUCUUUAUGCCUGUAAACAUUUAGUCCAAGGCUUUGUUAGAUUUGUAAAUAAAUUUCUCCAUUUUCCCUUUA